ACUGAACGCUGGCGGAAUGCUUUACACAUGCAAGUCGAACGGCAGCACGGACUUCGGUCUGGUGGCGAGUGGCGAACGGGUGAGUAAUACAUCGGAACGUGCCCAGUCGUGGGGGAUAACGUAGCGAAAGCUACGCUAAUACCGCAUACGAUCUACGGAUGAAAGCGGGGGAUCGCAAGACCUCGCGCGAUUGGAGCGGCAGAUGGCAGAUUAGGUAGUUGGUAGGGUAAAGGCCUACCAAGCCGACGAUCUGUAGCUGGUCUGAGAGGAUGAUCAGCCACACUGGGACUGAGACACGGCCCAGACUCCUACGGGAGGCAGCAGUGGGGAAUUUUGGACAAUGGACGCAAGUCUGAUCCAGCCAUUCCGCGUGCAGGAUGAAGGCCCUCGGGUUGUAAACUGCUUUUGUACAGAACGAAAAGGCUCUGGUUAAUACCUGGGGCUCAUGACGGUACUGUAAGAAUAAGCACCGGCUAACUACGUGCCAGCAGCCGCGGUAA
rnacentral:rRNA from 1 species